UACGAAGGGGGGCUAGCGUUGCUCGGAAUUACUGGGCGUAAAGGGCGCGUAGGCGGCCUUCUAAGUCAGACGUGAAAUCCCCCCGGGCUUUAACCUGGGAACUGCGUCUGAUACUGGGAUGGCUUGAGUUUUUGGGGAGAGGGAUGCGGGAAUUCCAGGUGUAGCGGGUGAAAUGCGUAGGAUAUCUGGAGGAACACCGGGUGGCGAAGGCGGCAUCCUGGACCAACACUGACGCUGAGUGAGCGAAAGCCAGGGGGAGCAAACGGG
rnacentral:rRNA from 1 species